AUUGAACGCUAGCGGGAUGCCUUACACAUGCAAGUCGAACGGCAGCGCGGACUUCGGUCUGGCGGCGAGUGGCGAACGGGUGAGUAAUAUAUCGGAACGUGCCCAGUAGCGGGGGAUAACUACUCGAAAGAGUAGCUAAUACCGCAUACGCCCUACGGGGGAAAGGGGGGGAUCGCAAGACCUCUCACUAUUGGAGCGGCCGAUAUCGGAUUAGCUAGUUGGUGGGGUAAAGGCCCACCAAGGCGACGAUCCGUAGCUGGUUUGAGAGGACGACCAGCCACACUGGGACUGAGACACGGCCCAGACUCCUACGGGAGGCAGCAGUGGGGAAUUUUGGACAAUGGGGGAAACCCUGAUCCAGCCAUUCCGCGUGUGCGAUGAAGGCCUUCGGGUUGUAAAGCACUUUUGGCAGGAAAGAAAUCGCACAAAUUAAUACUUUGUGUGGAUGACGGUACCUGCAGAAUAAGCACCGGCUAACUACGUGCCAGCAGCCGCGGUAAUACGUAGGGUGCAAGCGUUAAUCGGAAUUACUGGGCGUAAAGCGUGCGCAGGCGGUUCGGAAAGAGAGGUGUGAAAUCCCAGGGCUUAACCUUGGAACUGCACUUUUAACUCCCGAGCUAGAGUAUGUCAGAGGGGGGUGGAAUUCCGCGUGUAGCAGUGAAAUGCGUAGAUAUGCGGAGGAACACCGAUGGCGAAGGCAGCCCCC
rnacentral:rRNA from 1 species